GGAGAAUUGAUCGAGAUUUUCUUGUUAUUUCUGGGUGAGAUGUAGUUUAUUAUUUGUAUUUAGGUAAUCCAGUAAAUUAGAGAUGAUUGCUAAUUAACUGUGGAAAGAAAUAGCUACAACAUUCUUUAUGUAAAAAUCUAAACGAAAGUUUGUUGUAAAAUGUAGAAGUGUUGAAGCUGUCGUUGUCCAAGUUGUGACAUCUUCGCCAUUGAUUCUAUAUGUAAGUAUCAUUAAUAGUAUCAACAUUUAUAAUGUGUCCUUUUUCUGCUUCAUCUAUUUGUUUUGAUGUGUUCAAAGACAAAGGAAAGAAAAUGAAGAAGAGAAGACAUUUUACUAAAGUUGCUUUUAUCAUAUGUAAUAUAGUGAGUUAAAAAACUUGCUUUCACUGACAUUUCAUAUUGUUUUUUAAGAAUAUUCCAAGAAUUACACAGAAUAAUUACUCAAAGGUGUAGUCUUCGGAAAUAAUCGGUCUGAUUUGCAUUUGAUGAAGCUUGUGCACAUACAUGUGUGCUAGCGGACGUUCGGAAACACGCUUUUGUAAAGGUGUUGUGUCCUCCUUCUGUCUUUCGAAGCUUUCCAAACACGACCAUCAUGUCAUUUUAAAACGUUCCAAUCAUGCCCACCCAGUUUGUUUUUGAAAGCGAUCCAACCCUCACCAUCUCGUCUUUUAACCCCAUAUCUCCCUCAUGUCUCACUCCGUAGUUUUUGGACGGACUUUCGGCGUUGCUGGCUCUGUUUUGGUCGAGAUUUUGCCUAUCUUUCCAUUUUUUUUUUGUUCUGGUUUAUUUUGUAUUUCAAACGUCUCCCCUCCUCCCAUCAUGUCUAUUGACAAACAAUCGCCAAUAAUAUGAUUUUUUUUGCUAUGUUUUGUCAUUACAUUCUGAAACGCAUCUAAUUUGCAUUAAAAAAACAAAACUCCUCGCCUUACUUGAUCGUAUCUUCAGAAAAUGGGUACGUGUGUGUAUAUAUGUGUAUGUAUUUAUGUAUGUAUGUAAACUUUUGGUCUUAAAAAGGAAUGGCUAUAUUAGACGAGUUCCAUUCUUCAGGUAAACGUUUCCAUCUACCGUUUAUCAAUAUAAAAAAAAAUGUAGUAAUCUUAAUUUUAUGUAUCCUCUGUUUCUUUAUAUUUCAUUCUCUUUUAUUUCAGAACAUCAGAUGACAUUGGCAUAAAAGAAUUAUUAGUUACUUGAGUUCGUUACUUGGAGACCAAAAAUAAAUUAUGCAGAACAGACUUAAUCCUGUUUAUAUAAGUCUGUUGUAGAAUUACUGUGAAAUAUUUGCUGUGAACUGAGAUUAACAGUGAAAUUUCCCUGUUUCACUGUCUGAAAUGAGUGGAAGAUGAAUUUAUAUUGUAAUUAAAAUUGGAUAACAAAGGACUUUGCAACAUCUUCAAAUAUCAACAAAGAUCACAGUUGAUGGAAUUAUAGCAGAAGAAAUAUUUAUUUGGAGUGAAAUCUAACAAUUUAAAGAAAACCAUCUAUAGCAAGUGGAAUUUUAUUAAUGGAUGAGCAGGCUUCAGGAGACAUCUUCAGAGGAAGAAUUUCCAUCAAGCAUUUUGUUCCAUUGGUUCUUGUUACUGGAAGGGAUCCAGCCCGUGUAGAUCAUGACUGUCAAGUGUCCCCCUGUUGAUUUUGAAUUGCUG
rnacentral:lncRNA from 1 species